GUGGGGAAUUUUGGACAAUGGGCGCAAGCCUGAUCCAGCCAUGCCGCGUGAGUGAAGAAGGCCUUCGGGUUGUAAAGCUCUUUCGGCCGGGAAGAAAUCGGCGACUCUAACAUAGUCGCUGGAUGACGGUACCGGACUAAGAAGCACCGGCUAACUACGUGCCAGCAGCCGCGGUAAUACGUAGGGUGCGAGCGUUAAUCGGAAUUACUGGGCGUAAAGCGUGCGCAGGCGGUUUUGUAAGACAGAUGUGAAAUCCCCGGGCUUAACCUGGGAACUGCGUUUGUGACUGCAAGGCUAGAGUACGGCAGAGGGGGGUGGAAUUCCUGGUGUAGCAGUGAAAUGCGUAGAUAUCAGGAGGAACACCGAUGGCGAAGGCAGCCCCCUGGGCCUGUACUGACGCUCAUGCACGAAAGCGUGGGGAGCAAACAGGAUUAGAUACCCUUGUAGUCC
rnacentral:rRNA from 1 species